rnacentral:misc_RNA from 1 species
UACAGAGGGUGCAAGCGUUAAUCGGAAUUACUGGGCGUAAAGCGCGCGUAGGUGGUUUGUUAAGUUGGAUGUGAAAGCCCCGGGCUCAACCUGGGAACUGCAUCCAAAACUGGCAAGCUCGAGUACAGCAGAGGAUAGUGGAAUUUCCGGUGUAGCGGUGAAAUGCGUAGAGAUCGGAAGGAACACCAGUGGCGAAGGCGACCACCUGGACUGAUACUGACACUGAGGUGCGAAAGCGUGGGUAGCAAACAGG